rnacentral:rRNA from 1 species
CCUACGGGGGGCUGCAGUGGGGAAUAUUGGACAAUGGGGGCAACCCUGAUCCAGCCAUGCCGCGUGUGUGAAGAAGGCCCUCGGGUUGUAAAGCACUUUCAGUGAGGAAGAACGCCUGGUGGUUAAUACCCAUCAGGAAAGACAGCACUCACAGAAGAAGCACCGGCUAACUCCGUGCCAGCAGCCGCGUAAUACGGAGGGUGCGAGCGUUAAUCGGAAUUACUGGGCGUAAAGCGCGCGUAGGUGGCUUGAUAAGCCGGUUGUGAAAGCCCCGGGCUCAACCUGGGAACGGCAUCCGGAACUGUCAAGCUAGAGUGCAGGAGAGGAAGGUAGAAUUCCCGGUGUAGCGGUGAAAUGCGUAGAGAUCGGGAGGAAUACCAGUGGCGAAGGCGGCCUUCUGGACUGACACUGACACUGAGGUGCGAAAGCGUGGGUAGCAAACAGGAUUAGAUACCCUGGUAGUC